UUCGUCGGGCAAAUCCCCGGAUGGAACUUUGGCCAAUCAGAACGCGACUUGCCAGGCGGACGGAGGUAGGCCAGCGCUGCUCACAUCCAAUGCCCUUGUGAGAGAAGUUGUACGCCGCUUUGUUCCUUCCAUGGAGUUAGUAGGCGUGUGGACUACCAUGACACUCCAAAAUCUCGUUGCUGUUUGGCCAGACGGGACUAAGUUUGUUGACACUGAUGUAACUUACCUUCUUGUCCCUGACCUCAUCAUCGGCGGAGCUUGCUAUCGAUUUUCAUCUCUUCAGACAUUCCAGCAACAUCCUUGCGUCUCACUUACGUCUAGUGGGUACGUCAUUUGCACGGUCUGAGAGAAACGGAAGAAUACCAGGAAGGAGUAAGAAAGGAAGGAAUAACAGGAAGGCCUAGGGAAG